GCUGGGUGUAGUGGUGCGCACCUGUAGUCCCAGCUACUCGGGAAGCUGAGGCAGGAGAAUUGCUUGAACCCAGGAGGUGGGGGUUGCAGUGAGCUGAGAUUGCACCACUGCACUCCAGCCUGGGCAACAGAGCAAGACUCCGUCUCAA
ensembl:misc_RNA Metazoa_SRP Metazoan signal recognition particle RNA